UACAGAGGGUGCGAGCGUUGUCCGGAAUUACUGGGCGUAAAGGGCGCGUAGGCGGCCCGAUAAGUCGGGGGUGAAAGUCAGCGGCUCAACCGCUGGACUGCCUUCGAGACUGUUAGGCUUGAGCAUGGUAGAGGCUGGCGGAAUUCCCGGUGUAGCGGUGAAAUGCGUAGAUAUCGGAAGGAACACCAGUGGCGAAAGCGGCUUCCUGGUCCAGCACCGACGUUCAGGCACGAAAGCGUGGGGAGCAAACAGG
rnacentral:rRNA from 1 species